rnacentral:rRNA from 1 species
GUUUUUGCCAAAUCAUUCUGAAUGUACCCAAUGACAUCCGAUCUCAGAAGGUAAGCAGGGUUGUGCCUGGUUAAUACCUGGAUGGGAAACCACCAGGGGAUACCCAGUGCUGUAGGCU